UACGUAGGGUGCAAGCGUUGUCCGGAAUUAUUGGGCGUAAAGAGCUCGUAGGCGGUCUGCCGCGUCGGAUGUGAAAAUCCAGGGCUCAACCCUGGACCUGCAUUCGAUACGGGCAGACUAGAGUUCGGUAGGGGAGACUGGAACUCCUGGUGUAGCGGUGAAAUGCGCAGAUAUCAGGAGGAACACCGGUGGCGAAGGCGGGUCUCUGGGCCGGUAUUGACGCUGAGGAGCGAAAGCGUGGGGAGCAAACGGG
rnacentral:rRNA from 1 species